AAUGCGUCUUGCGUGCCGAUCUCACCAGGUUAAAUCUCUUCCGAUCCAGAUAUAAUAAGUCUGAUUACGUUUGGAGUAAGACAAACCCACUUCCUAAGACUUUCAGACGGUCCUGUGGGCUUCACCCUGCACCUGUUCUGUCAUUGAUAUAAUUAAUUUAGCUUACUUAUACUCAGUCCUAACGUCAACUAUAAGAUACGUAUUGCCUAAGCCGUUAUUCUUUUGCUGCUCUUUUAUCAGCCUGUUCGAAUAUGUUUAACAAAAGUCUAAAUUUGCCUCGGUGAUAAUAUGUUGACUUUUGGUGCAUUUCUACGACGUGAUCACUGGGCAUUUGUAUUAUUGGCUGAUUCUGUUUUCGGGACGCGGAUGAAUGGGGCCGGUCGUUGAUCAACAUCUGAGGAACAAACGGGAUGUUGGCUCUACAGCUGAAGGCGGUAGCGGCGAGGGCGCCGCGGACCUAAACCGGAGCUGUAUAUUAUUUGUUCUUCAGCAAGAUGGAACACUGGUUACAUCGAUCAAACAGAGCUACACUGAGAUCUCAUACUUUUUGGCUGAUCUCUUCCUCCCUUCGCAACGACAUAGCUCUUAUGUGUUGACAACUCUGGUGUCUUCCUAACGUACAUCUAGAAGCGUAUAUAUAUAUAUAUAUAUUAUGACAGCAUUGUUGCAAGUGAAUUUUUGUGCCGUAUUUUAUUCGAUUACGCUCGUCACUGAUACAUCGUCGAAUUGUAAACCCGGCUACGUAAUCGGACCAGUCUAUGACGACGGUCGACAAAAAAGAACUUUCUUGCCACGUCGUCUUUUAGCACUUAGAUCCGAUUGUAAUUGUAUGCAAUUGUAUGUAAUUAAAUGUUAUUUUUUUUUAUGAA